GACGAACGCUGGCGGCGUGCUUAACACAUGUAAGUCGAACGAUGAAGUUCCUUCGGGAAUGGAUUAGUGGCGAACGGGUGGGGAACACGUGAGAAACCUGCCUUUCAUUUUGGGAUAACUCCGGGAAACCGGGGCUAGAACCGAAUACUCCGUCUCGGCGGCAUCGCUGAGCCGGGAAAAAAUUUUGAUGAAAGAUGGUCUCGCGGCCUAUCAGCUAGUUGGUGAGGUAAUGGCUCACCAAGGCAACGACGGGUAGCCGGCCUGAGAGGGCGACCGGCCACACUGGGACUGAGACACGGCCCAGACUCCUACGGGAGGCAGCAGUGGGGAAUAUUGGGCAAUGGGCGCAAGCCUGACCCAGCGACGCCGCGUGAGGGAUGAAGGCCUUCGGGUUGUAAACCUCUUUCAGUAGGGAAGAAGCGAAAGUGACGGUACCUAAAGAAGAAGCACCGGCUAACUAUGUGCCAGCCGCCGCCGUAA
rnacentral:rRNA from 1 species